rnacentral:lncRNA from 7 species
ACUUUCCUGCCGCAGCGAGAGGCAUCGUCGGCAUCGGGGGGUGCUCUGGCUCACCCCGCACCCUUGCGGGAUGGAUUCAAGCAGCACUGUCCCUGAGCCCGGGGACGGGGUGGGGCGGCGAUGGCCUCACCUGCUCUCGGCUGCUCCCUUCGCUGCUGUGCCGGUGUCAAAGGGGAGCGCACACGGCCGCCCCCGCAGUGGAGGCCUGGGCGGGAGAUCUGCUGGAAAGCAGCUCUGGUUUAAUAGCCCCUUGGCACGGCCCGGAGACUCUGCUCUAAAUCGUGGAAAUUAUGAUCAUGGCCAAAUGCUCCCUGCACGGGAACUUGCUAACCAAAGCAGAUCCGCUCCUCAGCUGGCCCGGGCCGCAGAGAAGUGCCGCCCGCGUCCCAGCGGAGCUGCUCCCGGCAGAGAGAAGAGCCGCCGCCCGGCCCGACUCUCCGCCGAGGUCCGGAUUCGACCUAAAAGUGAGGAGAGGCAAAGCCCGGCGCUGGGAGAUGGGUGGCCCCGCGGCGAACAUUGCUGCGGCCCCGCGGAUGGCCGCCGCCGCCCCUGCGCACCCGCAGCCCGCACCGCGGAGGGCGGAGAGUCGGAGCUGGGCCUCGGCAUGCCCAGGAAGCAGGACGAGUUAUAGACUGGGCUGUACGCAUUACCGAUGAUCAUUUAAUGCAAGAUCUAUACGAUUUUAGAAAUGGUACCACUGAAUUCAGCGGGAAAAUCAUAGAGGGAAUGUGUUUUGUUUUGUUUUGUUUUUUCAAACAAAAAAAAUAAUUAAACUAGCCCUUUCU